rfam:Oryza glumipatula chromosome 4, whole genome shotgun sequence.
AAAAAGACAAACCUGGUUUCUAUGCCUAACGUUUGACCGUUCGUUUUAUUUAAAAAAAUUAUAAAAAAAAUUAAAAAGACAAUCACGCAUAAAAUAUUAAUCAUAUUUUAUCAUCUAACAACAAUGAAAAUACGAAUUAUAAAAAAAUUUCAUAUAAGACGGACAGUCAAAGUUGGACACGUAAAGCCAGAGUUUGCCUUUUU